rnacentral:lncRNA from 1 species
AUUUUAGUGAAAAAGUGCCUGAGCUUUCUGCUGUUUUUCAGUAGAGCUAUUGGGAAGUCGGAGACAGAGAGUUCAUAAAGGGCAUCAGAAGCAAGAAGGAAAGUGAGGUUGCCAGAUAAAAAGGUGGAUAGAAAAGGAAAAGCUUUUUAAAGCUAGAAAAAGGUGAAAUAAAUACUCUAGCUACAGAGGAAUAAGGAUUUGAAAUGAAACAGAAAAUCAGAUAAUAAACCGAUUCAAAUCCUGACUCAUUUUUUCCUUCAUUUUGUCCCCCACAUCUGCACUCUAUUCAAAGCAGGACAUUCAAUGAUCCAGGUAGAUGAGAACUGUGAAAACCUUGAACUUUCUGAACAGCCCAAGGGUGGAUUUCAGAGGCAUUCAAGAUGUUGCGCUGAGAUCUUUCUCCUUUGAAGCUGCUGGGAGUUUUGUCACAGACUUCAAUCAGGAAGAGAUUUCACUCUCAGCAGGAGAGCUGCGAUUCCAUCACUGCUCCUAUUCAUAACCAGUGUCUCUCAAGAUCAGGAGGGGACCAUCACUUCCUCUCAAACUGCUGAGAUAAUGACCAGCAUAAACUGUGAAUUCUACCAACAAGAGUGCUAAAGGACAGAAAGAUGACAAAUACCUUUUUGUCAUUGCCAUCAGUAUUUAUAUAGACAGUAUUCGUAAUACUGCAGCAUAACUGGAAUGCAUUUAUUCUGUUUUGGAAAGAUCAGUUUUACACAGAAACGUAGGAGGGACAACUAAACUAGAUGUGUAAUACUUGUUUAGCUGACCUGGUCUUAAACCUGGGGCUGAUUUGAAUUACAGCCUCUCUUCAAUUAUAAAUAUAUAUUUUCUUGAAAUGUAGAAUCAACUACACUCAAAAUGAAAUAUUUUAUGUCAUUUUCAGAAAUUUUACAGGAGAAAAAUCUCCUUUCUAUGCAGCUCUAAUUCUGAAUAUCUACAGUACAGCAUUGUUAUAAGCAUGAGCUUUCAAUGCAACUUUCAGAUUAAUGUACACCAAAAGAAAAAGUGUGAAUUGUAUUUAUUAUGCCUUAUUCUUUAAGAAGAAUCUCAUGCAAGUACUUGUUUUCAUAGAUUAAUCCUAGU